rnacentral:rRNA from 1 species
UACAGAGGUCUCGAGCGUUAGGCGGAAUCACUGGGCUUAAAGCGUGUGUAGGCGGAUCGGUAAGUACCUUGUGAAAUCCCACAGCUUAACUGCGGAACUGCUUGGUAUACUGCCAGUCUUGAGCCACUUAGGGGCUACCGGAACAAAUGGUGUAGCGGUGAAAUGCGUAGAUAUCAGUUGGAACGCCAAUGGUGAAGACAGGUAGCUGGGAGUGUGCUGACGCUGAGACACGAAAGCCAGGGGAGCAAACGGG